GGGAGGAAUAGGCCUACUGCAUAUAUUGACCUAUUAUAAGGCCGUUUAUAUAGAAGCAGCAAUAAAAUGAAAUGCCCAAGAAAAAAAACACUUCAAUGGGUGGACAUGGAAAAUGGGAAUUACCAGGGAGGGAGAAUGAGAGACCCAAUGUGGACCCCUAAAACCUUGCGCCCUAACCUGCCAGACCUAUUUCCCACUACAAAAUUAGCU